rnacentral:rRNA from 1 species
AACGAACGCUGGCGGCAGGCUUAACACAUGCAAGUCGAACGCGUGUAGCAAUACACGAGUGGCGCACGGGUGAGUAACACGUGGACAUCUGCCUUUUGGUUCGGAAUAACUCCGGGAAACUGGAGCUAAUACCGGAUGGUUCCUAUGGGCUAAAGAUUUAUCGCCAAAAGAUGAGUCCGCGUACGAUUACCUAGUUGGUGAGGUAAUGGCUCACCAAGGCGACGAUCGUUAGCUUGUCUGAGAGGACGAUCAGACACACUGGGACUGCGACACGGCCCAGACUCCUACGGGAGGCAGCAGUGGGGAAUAUUGGACGAUGGGGGCAACCCUGAUCCAGCCAUGCCGCGUGAGUGAUGAAGGCAUUCGGGUUGUAAAGCUCUGUUGGCGGGGACGAUGAUGACGGUACCCGCAGAAUAAGCCCCGGCUAACUUCGUGCCAGCAGCCGCAGUAA